rnacentral:lncRNA from 1 species
CAUAGCUAAUGUAAAAAAUAAAUUAUUAAAAAAUAAAAAAAAUUGAUAAAUAUUUUAGAAUAUCAUCUGAUUCGAUUUUACCUCAUUCUAAGAAUUUUGUUGAUAAUAAUGAUAAUCAACUGAAAAAAAAACAUACAUGGUUGUGACGUUAACAAUUGUAUCACAAACGGUGACUUAAAUAAAAAUGGAUCUCAUGUAAGUAGAAGUGGUAUUGCUACUGCUGCUGUCCCUAACAACAAUAAAAAUGAAUAUAUCAACGAAUCUAUCAAUAAGUCUAUUAAUAAAUCUAAUAAGAAUAAUAGUAUUUAUUGCAAUACAAACAACAUUAAUGAUAAUAACAUAUAUUCGCAGUAUAAUAAUAAUAAUAGUAGUAGUAAUGAUGAUGAAGUAGUAAUGAUGAUGAUGAUGAUACAUGUGAUAGUAGUGAAAUAAGUUGUACCGACACAAGCGGAGUAGAUAGGAGUAAUACAGACAUAAGUGGGGGAGGAGGUAGUAGCAAUCACAUUUUAGAUAAAAGUAAAUAUUCUACUCGUGUAACAAAAAAAUUAAACAGUUCAUCAUAUAAAGAUAAUAAAAACAUAGAAAAAGAGUUAUAUAAUAAAUUUUAUGAAAAUAAUAAAGAAAAAAAUAAUGUAUAUCCUAAUGUAUAUAACUUAGAUGAUGCUACAGAAUUAACAGCUUUAUUGAAUGAUAAUGGAAAACAUGAAAUAAAAAAAUUGUUAUGGGCAAUUAAUAAUAAUUUUGGUAACGAUAUUGAAUUUUCACCUAUAAUACCAAAUCUGUGUAUUAUACUUUUGAUUUAUUUUAAAGCUUCAGUUGUUUAUUGUAUUAUUCAUUGUUUAAUAAAAAAUGGUAAUUGAUUUUUUUU